rnacentral:rRNA from 1 species
UACGUAGGUGGCAAGCGUUGUCCGGAUUUAUUGGGUUUAAAGGGUGCGUAGGCGGCCUUGUAAGUCAGUGCUGAAAUAUCCCGGCUUAACCGGGAGGGUGGCAUUGAUACUGCAGGGCUUGAGUAAAGUUGAGGUUGGCUGGAAUUGACGGGUGUAGCGGUGAAAUGCUUAGAUAUCGAGAGGAACACCUGCGGCGAAGGCGGGAUAGCUGGGCCGACACGUGACGCUGG